UACGUAGGGGGCUAGCGUUGUCCGGAAUUACUGGGUGUAAAGGGCGUGUAGGCGGGUAAUUAAGUCAGAUGUGAAAUACCGCAGCUUAACUGCGGGGCUGCAUCUGAAACUAAAUAUCUUGAGUGCAGGAGAGGAAAGCGGAAUUCCUAGUGUAGCGGUGAAAUGCGUAGAUAUUAGGAGGAACACCAGUGGCGAAGGCGGCUUUCUGGACUGUAACUGACGCUGAGGAGCGAAAGCGUGGGGAGCGAACAGG
rnacentral:rRNA from 1 species